ensembl:lncRNA
AAAUUUGAAUAUUUUUUAAUGUCUUAUGAAAAAGAACAGGUGGGCAGUUUUGUAUUUGGCUCACUCCAGACUGCAGAUGUACCAAGCAGAUGUGCCACUGACUGCCAAAAAUUCAAAGUCAGUGUGUUUUCUGGUCACAUGUGCUUAAAUAAGUUGCUGACAUCCACCAAGCCAAAUUAUGCAGCGAAUACUCUUAAUGCUUUUUUUUUUAAGUCUCGCCGAGUGCUUGUGUUUAAACGGUUUAAACUUUUGCCCUUCUCCCCCGUCCCUCUUCUCAGCUGUUUCUCUUUCCCUCUUUCUUUCUCCCCUUCUUUCCCCCAGUCAAGUCUGUCCCGUAUUCAGUAAGUGAAAAUAAAAUAAACAAUAAAAGGUGAAUCAAAUGGACCAUUACGGCAAGGCUGGGAUGGUCAGUUUGGUAAAGUAAAUCCGUUGGGCAUCUUUCUUUGCCUUUAGACAACAAUUCUGAUGGCAAAAGAGCCAAACGGGACAGGCCAAAAAAAAAAAAAAAAUAAAAAAAAUAAAAAAAAUAAAAAAAAUAAACGGCAACUCCAGAAUGACUUCAGCCGUGUUGUUAAAUCGUCACUCAAAAGAAAUUUGCCACUAUGCCUGUGUUCCCUCAGGUCAAACGUCAGUACGCACACAGCAAGCUUCCCCACCACACUACACUUAUUUUCUCUCACAACUCCAUCAAACAUUUGUGUUUAAUCAACCAGUGCAGAACAAAGACGCUUUAGCUUAAGUUCAAAGCUCUGCUUCUUCUUCAGAUCCUUACUGAUAAAACUAGCUCCAGUUUUCAUGGUGUCAGCCUCUGUUUAUAUAGUUUUUCUCGAUAAAUGUCAACCCAUGACCUUUUUUGAAGUAAUUUAGUCUCUACAAAAGGCCAAUGCAGCUCCUGCCUGUGUGUGGUUAUGUUCACUUGUGUGGUGGUCUUUUACUGCUAUAAUCCUUUACAUUUCCACUCCUCACGGGAGCGUGCACGGAUGCGUCGACAAACGCGCAAUACAUCAAGACAAUAAACUAAAAGCGAGAUACAAAUGUUAACA